rnacentral:rRNA from 1 species
GAGAAAGCUACCAAAGGGCACACGGUGGAUGUCUUGGUGUCCAGAGGCGAUGAAGGACGUUGGAACCUGCGAUAUGCCUCGGGGAGCC